CUGAGUGAUCAGCAGGGGUGGAGCCUGGCUGCACCUCUCUUAGACCCCAUUUAAGGGCUGACUGCCAUGGGGAAGCAUCUCUGGUUGGAUUUCCUUCUUUUGUGGAUCUUCCUCAUGAGCACAGAUCUUCAGAGAUGGGGGAUUACUCCUCCUUAAUAAGCACCAUGGUCUGGCUGCACCCUCCAAUGGCCACCAUGUGCAACCUCUUCAAGCAGAGCUGGCACCACAGCUGCAAAUCAAAGGAGAGAAGAACCACACAGUCUCAGCACCUGACUGCUGCUUUCUUGUGUAAAAUGCUCCUACUCUACCAUCACAAGCUAAGAGUGUAUUUUUUAAGUGUAUUUUUGCACAAGAUGUGCUUUCAGCCUGAAUUUCAACUGCAGUUCCUAAGUGCUUCCCCUAUUCCUGUGGAGAUGUUGCUGCUCUCCAGUCCAGACCCUCCCUUAUGGGAAAGGGCCAACAUCCUUCCUCCUGCCCCAACCCCAUCUGUACAAAGGGAAGGGGUUAUGCCAAAGCUCAGCAGCACACACAGUGUCCUUGUUCUUAGAAAGCUGCAGUUGCCAGAGAAGCAGAAAUGGAAACAUUAUAGAAAAAGUUCCAUGAGUUUGCAGAAGAUGCAGUUUUAUUGUACAGCUAAUUAGCUACCUCAGGAAUGGCUCUGAUGGGAAGAACUAGGAAAGAAGUAAAUACUGCUGCUCUUAAAGCGUGCUGCAACAGAGACUUGGUGUACACGUUUCCAAAUACCUUGUAGCAGUUAUCUGGUCUUGCUCCUGAAACCUCUUUAUGAUGGAACACUGGUGGGCUUCUCUGCUGCUUAUCUUUACUGCAGGUUACCAGUGACACGAAGGCACUGCAUGCAGGUGCACUGUUCUUUCCGCUUCGAUAACAAGUCUAAAAAGUUAACUGCUGUCCACUUACACUCUGAAAUUGAAUCACACUUUCAACAGGUACACAGUUAUCAGCGCAACCAGUUACACACUCAGGCUGUAA